rnacentral:rRNA from 1 species
UACAGAGGGGGCAAGCGUUGUUCGGAAUUACUGGGCUUAAAGAGUUCGUAGGCGGCGCAGAAAGUAGGGUGUGAAAGCCCUCGGCUCAACCGAGGAAUAGCGCUCUAAACUACUGUGCUUGAGGAACCUAGAGGUGAGCAGAACUGAUGGUGGAGCGGUGAAAUGCGUUGAUAUCAUCAGGAAUACCGGAGGCGAAGGCGGCUCACUGGGGGUUAUCUGACGCUGAGGAACGAAAGCCAGGGGAGCGAACGGG